GUACAGUCCAGCUGGAUUGGUUACAGCUCUGCCUUUGCCUUGUUUGAACACAGUUUGAACGGUCCGCGGUGUUUGAAUGGUUGAAGUACGGUGGCUGGGAUUGGCCAAGACUCAUCUAUUGUUACAGACGCGUACUCCUAAGUUAGGUUUUCAGCCUUGCCUACCUGUUCAGCUAGAUUGCGGUUCAUAUACAAGGUCUCAAAUGUAGAAGUAUGGAGUCAUUCUCAGGCCAUGUUGAGUUGGCUUUAACACAGCUCAAAAUGAGUUCAUAGGAUUCAAGCUUUCUAGUCAUCUCCCUUCUUGGAAUCUGCAUGCUAGCCUGAUGACCUGUCCCUUGUCCCCACCGGAAGACUUCAGAGGGUGACCGGUUGCCAUCAGUAGCUGUUUCCUAUCGGCCUUAGUAUUUCCAGAUAUCUUCUAGUGCUGGGGAGGACUGGCAGAUUCUACACAGACCAUGGGAUAUGGAAGACUGAAUAAUGACCGCCAAAGGCACCCAGGCCCUAAUUUCUGGAACCUGUGAUUCUUACAUCAUAAAAGAGACUUUGCGUAUGUAAUCCAAUUAAGUCUUGAGUUAGGGAAAUUGCACUGGAAUUUCGAGGCGAGCCCUAAAUACAAUCACAAAAGGAAGGCAGAGGGAGAUUUGAUUAGACAGAAGAAGUCAACAGGACCACUCCUGCAACAUGCUACGCUGCUGACUUUGGAGAAUGAGGAAGGGGUCACGCACUGAGGAAUGCAGGGGAUGGGACUCUAAGAAGCUAGAAACGGCAAGGAAACAAGAUUCUUCCCUACUGUCCCUGGAGUGAGUGUGGCCCCGCUGACACCCAGGAAGCUGCUUCCGGGUUUCUGACCUAGUGAGGUGAUCUUGGUCAGAAUGUGAGAAAAUUGUGUCUGCCUAGGAGCACCAGUGGUGACCUGGCAUUGCAACAAGAUAGCAGCAGAGCUGAACAAGCCCAAUUGGUACCAGAUUCCUUUCUGUUCUGUCAAGCGGAAAAUGGAAGGCAUCUGAGGCUGAUCCUUCCCAGAAAUUAAUUCCAGAGGCUGCCACAUCUGGGAGGAGCUUCCAAAGCCAGCAUCAGCAAUGUAGUUCCUGCCAUCAAUGGUUACCUGCAGGAGAAGGACACAAGUGGAGACAAAAGUCAAGGAUUUGACUGGAAUGGCAUAUUUUUAAGAAAUUGACAGUGACUUUAUAAAGCUGAUAAUAGGCCUGUGGAUAAAACUGGCCUCACACCUUGUCUAUGCAGUUCCAUUACAGGGUCCUUCACAGGUUUCUGGCCUGUAAUGGGUAAAAGAAGGUCACAUUCCGACAGGCCUAGGAACCCCAAGUUAUUUUGGAACCUUGAGAGAGAAUUCACUCAAUUCGUACAGAGAUGCCUCCUACUAGAAAUCUGAUUGCCUACAUUAUGUCUAGAGGCCUAAACCAUUUGCAGUGCCACCUCCUGGAAUGGGACAUAGCUAUUUAACUGAAAUGAUCUCGCCUCAAAACCAAGAGACUGCCUAAAGAAGAUAUGGAAUGAUAUAUUUAAAUUUGCUCAUUUAUAUUUAUCCUGAA